rnacentral:rRNA from 1 species
CCUACGGGAGGCUGCAGUCGAGAAUCAUUCACAAUGGGGGAAACCCUGAUGGUGCGACGCCGCGUGAGGGAAUGAAGGUCUUCGGAUUGUAAACCCCUGUCAUGUGGGAGCAAAUUGGACAGAUAGUACCACAAGAGGAAGAGACGGCUAACUCUGGGCCAGCAGCAGCGGUAAUACAGAGGUCUCAAGCGUUGUUCGGAAUCACUGGGCGUAAAGCGUGCGUAGGCUGGUUUGUAAGUCGUGUGUGAAAGGCGCGGGCUCAACCCGCGGACGGCACAUGAUACUGCGAGACUAGAGGAAGGGAGGGGUAACCGGAAUUCUCGGUGUAGCAGUGAAAUGCGUAGAUAUCGAGAGGAACACUCGUGGCGAAGGCGGGUUCCUGGACAUUAACUGACGCUGAGGCACGAAGGCCAGGGGAGCGAAAGGGAUUAGAUACCCCUGUAGUC